rnacentral:rRNA from 1 species
AACGAACGCUGGCGGCAUGCCUAACACAUGCAAGUCGAACGAGACCUUCGGGUCUAGUGGCGCACGGGUGCGUAACGCGUGGGAAUCUACCCUCAGGUUCGGAAUAACUCAGAGAAAUUUGAGCUAAUACCGGAUGAUGACGUAAGUCCAAAGAUUUAUCGCCUGAGGAUGAGCCCGCUUAGGAUUAGGUAGUUGGUGAGGUAAAGGCGCACCAAGCCGACGAUCCUUAGCUGGUCUGAGAGGAUGAUCAGCCACACUGGGACGGAGACACGGCCCAGACUCCUACGGGAGGCAGCAGUGGGGAAUAUUGGACAAUGGGCGAAAGCCUGAUCCAGCAAUGCCGCGUGAGUGAUGAAGGCCUUAGGGUUGUAAAGCUCUUUUACCCGGGAUGAUAAUGACAGUACCGGGAGAAUAAGCACCGGCUAACUCCGUG